UACAGAGGGGGCAAGCGUUGUUCGGAAUUACCGGGCGUAAAGGGCGCGUAGGCGGCCUGCUAAGUCGAACGUGAAAUCCCCGGGCUCAACCCGGGAACUGCGUCCGAUACUGGCAGGCUUGAAUCCGGGAGAGGGAUGUGGAAUUCCAGGUGUAGCGGUGAAAUGCGUAGAUAUCUGGAGGAACACCGGUGGCGAAGGCGGCAUCCUGGACCUGUAUUGACGCUGAUGCGCGAAAGCCAGGGGAGCAAACGGG
rnacentral:rRNA from 1 species